rnacentral:rRNA from 1 species
UGGGGAAUAUUGGACAAUGGGGGCAACCCUGAUCCAGCCAUGCCGCGUGAGUGAAGAAGGCCUUCGGGUUGUAAAGCUCUUUUAGUCGGAAAGAAAGAGUUGCAAUGAAUAAUUGUGAUUUAUGACGGUACCGACAGAAAAAGCACCGGCUAACUACGUGCCAGCAGCCGCGGUAAUACGUAGGGUGCGAGCGUUAAUCGGAAUUACUGGGCGUAAAGGGUGCGCAGGCGGUCUUGCAAGUCAGAUGUGAAAGCCCCGGGCUUAACCUGGGAAUUGCGUUUGAAACUACAAGACUAGAGUGCAGCAGAGGGGAGUUGAAUUCCAUGUGUAGCAGUGAAAUGCGUAGAGAUGUGGAAGAACACCGAUGGCGAAGGCAGCUCCCUGGGUUGACACUGACGCUCAUGCACGAAAGCGUGGGGAGCAAACA